rnacentral:misc_RNA from 1 species
UAAUAAGUGUUUUAUGGCACUUCUUAGAUCCAUAUCCACCUUGUGUGCAAUGUCAGUCGAUCUUCUUCAUGGAGAUCGACCAAACAUCAACCUUUAUCUUUUAACUCUUUGUCUUAAAAAUAUUAUGAAUAAACAAUUCAAAAUA